UCGGAGGACAGCGUGCGUUCGUGUUCGCCACUCCCUAGUCAGCGCGGGGGUGAUAAUUCAUAAGAUUACUUAUUUUAUUUUUGAAUGGCGUUGACACAGCUGAAUAAACGACUCUGCUGUUGACUCGCUGAACACACCACUGCAGUUUAAAAAAAGGAAUGCAACAGCACAAGCAGGACGAUUUAACAACUGUUUCUAUCCAUGAGAAAAUAUUAAGGCGGAAAAUUGGGACAAAAUUGCUUACUCUGGAUACUCACAAAAUGAGACACAAACUAUUUGAGAGACUAGUUGCCUGCCAUAGAACUGAAAAGGACCUGAACUCAAGUGAAAACAUCUGAGCACAUCUAGCAAAAAUAUAACGUAAACACACGAUGCCUAGGUAUAGAACAAUAAUAACAAACUGGCAAUCUUCAUAGAAAAGGUCAAAGCAUGAUAAUGUGGCCGGUAGUUUCUUCCAGGUUCACCUAAAACAAAAACCGAUAAAAGCAUUAGCCAAAAUUCUUGUCUAUGAAACCCACAGUCUAACAGUUUGACCUCAUUUACAGAGGAAACGCUGCCAACUUUAUUGAGAUUCUUGUGAUUUGAUCUCAAUAGCAGUGAUGAAGGAAUAUCUCCUGUCUUCUCAUAGUUCCUUUAGUUUUCUCUCACUGACAAAACUAGUUUUCCCUUUUCGUUUUACUAAGGUAAACCCAUUGGUGUACUUUUACUGUCGAUUGUAAUAAUGUACCUGCUUCUGGCACACCAAUGAAGUCAUGAGUAUAGAUGUGCGCUUGGUUGCUUAGAAGUUCUGGAUGAUUUAGUACUAGAGAUUUAUUUAAUUGAAACUAUUAUCAAAUUCAAUGCCAUGCAAACAUCAAUUAACAACAUUAUAUGAUACACAGCACCAGCAAUUGCAAUAGCCAAUGCUGGCAUAGUCAGUGAGUCAAUAGUAAACCCAUUACAAAAACAAGACGCUCAGAAAGCAUACGGGAACUGUUCCAAUCAGCCCGGUUGACUGACACUUCUCCAGCUCAGGUACUCCUUAGUGUUUAAAAGGGUGAUGUCAUUGGAAGCUGAGUUCACAGAUAAGGGUGUGGCUUGUUUCUAUAAGCCAGUCCUGGGUUAACCGAUUAGGUGCAUCUUGUGCCUGGCAUUACACUACUCUACACAAUAGGCUGGAACUGUGCUGCUCAUAGCAUCUAAUUGGAUUAGUUAGCAUACUGUACAAUGGCAAAAACGUUUCCUUAUCCAUAGUUGUAUGAAUUAAAGGUUAAAGUGUAUGAAAGAAAAACCAUCAUUCUCAGUAAAGCUAAGUACUGCACCUACAUCCUGAUAAAACAUAUAUGCAAUACUAAAACAGGUAAAAAAAAACAAAACAAAACUAUUAAUUGAAAUAUAACUAGCAAGCAUUUUAACUGAAAAUGAUUCUGACUGCUUAAAUGGCAUAUCUCGUUAAAUGACUCUUUCAUUGUGUAUUCGUAGUGGCCAAUAAAAAUAAAAUAAAAUAAAGAGAUCUGUGGAGAUCACAAUCUGUGAACACAAGCGCACCAAGCAAUGUGCAAAACUUCCCUCUUAACAAGCUAAGGAAGGUAGGAGAUGAGCUUCAAUAACCCUUUGUAAUGGGUGCUUGACACACACAGACAUACACACUGAGACCGAGGGAGUCUAAGCACAGCUAUAAGGCUGGAGGCUAUGGUUUUUCGAUUGCGGCCUCCCUCCUGUUAAGCCUUCCCCUUUAAUUGAAGCUCAGGUGGGGCUGUGCCUUUCACCUGCCUGGUCCUGCCUUGUGGACUGUGUUAAUUGAGGGGUUGCAACAUAUACUUUCCAGCAGUGCAGAAUCAUCAAAAGCGUUGUACAAAGCACUCACUGUUUCUAUAGUGUGUGUGUGUGAGUGUAGGGGGUGUUAGAUAACAUGGACCUGCUCCAUCUACCCAAGCAUGGACCUGCUCCAUCUACCCAAGCAUGGACCUGCUCCAUCUACCCAAGCAUGGACCUGCUCCAUCUACCCAAGCAUGGACCUGCUCCAUCUACCCAAGCAUGGACCUGCUCCAUCUACCCAAGCAUGGACCUGCUCCAUCUACCCAAGCAUGGACCUGCUCCAUCUACCCAAGCAUGGACCUGCUCCAUCUACCCAAGCAUGGACCUGCUCCAUCUACCCAAGCAUGGACCUGCUCCAUCUACCCAGGCAUGGACCUGCUCCAUCUACCCAAGCAUGGACCUGCUCCAUCUACCUGGUCCUGUAAAGGAAGCACAGCAUUUGAGAAUCAGAAGGGUUCCUGCAGUUGUGGCAUCUCCAACCAUCGAGUUGAAUGGAAAGGCAGGAGCCGGACGCAAGCUGCAAACCCUGCUGUUCAAAGAUCAAAGUUAAAAACAAAAACCGAACAGCGAGCUCUGUAGUGGAGAGAAUUAAGGCAUUUGCUUGAUCGUCCAGCUGGGGGCACAGAAUCGAUAAGGAAGAGAAGUAAGAAGGAAAACAAGUGUUUUGUUUUUGCUCAGUUUUUGCUCAGUCUUGUUUUUUAUCCAGUUUUCACCGCAAUUUAAAAUUGGGAUUUCAAGCCGUCCUUUCAGCGUUCGGCAGCUGACAAACUUGCUAAGUUAGAGGUCAUUGUCACACAGGGAAAGGAGUAUGAAGAAUGAUCGAAAGAUUUAGGACUUGGCCCUCGUGGUAAAGCAAUCCCAGGGCCUUCUCAAAGGAGCACAGAUAAAACGUUCACCUGGCUGGUUCGUUCUUCAGUCUGGAAAGUGCUGGGAGAGUUGUGAUACAACAUGCUACUCCCAUUCAGGUAAAAAAAGGUUUAUCAAGCAAAUCUGUGAUACAGCUGUAGAUCAUUGCAGCCAUAAGCCUGUAGGCACAUGAAGAGGGUCGUCAAUAUUGUAUUAAAAACCUUUUUACAGAAUUCAGAGCUUAUCGGAUUAUCGUUGAAUGCAAUCAGAAACAUCUGUAAGAGGCUGGUAAGUUUGAUGAAGAUUAGUACAAAAUAAAGGUUGUUGUCUUGUUCAUCAUAGAGAGACUACAGAGAUAAGCCAUGUGCUGCCAUACUGGCUUCUGGUACUGGAGACAAGUGGUUAUUACAACCAACUGUAUCAGAGACAGCCACACUUCUGUCCAUAGCUGUAGGUCACGGCUGUCCUCUUUCUCGGAGGCUGUGAUGAUGGCUGCAGACACGAUUCUGGCCAAAGAAUCUGAGAAUGUAAGCAAAAUAUUUUAGUGUGAUGUGUCAUGUGAUCCUCUAGACCAAUGGAAGCUGUUUGUGUGAUAUAUCAACGCAAUUGUGCCAUCAAAUUGGUGGUCCACUGGUUAAAGAAAAGAGCGUGAUACCAAGAUAGGUGGUAUCAAGGUACAAAUCCCAGCCACUGACUCACUGUGUGUGACCCUGAGCAAGUCACUUAAUCUCCUUGUGCUCUGUUCUUUGGGUGAGACGUAAAACCGAGGUCCUAUUGGAAGUGACUCUGCAGCAUAGUUCACCCCCUAGUCUGUGUAAGUCGCAUCACAAGGGUCUGGUAAAUGACUAAUUAAUAUCAAUAAUAAUAAAUGACAAAUGUUUCCAUCAAGACAGUCUCCCAGGAGUGUCGAGGUUUGCAGAAAUCCCCCAUCGGAAAGCAGAACUGUGGUCGCAAGUGAGAAGGUGGCAGACUGAGUCCGCAGAGGUGUGCAAUAUAUUGUGACAAGCAGCAAACUGUGCUAUAGUGGCCCAGAUCACAGGAACCUUCAACACUGGACAACACCAAUAAAACAUUGUGAUCUUCGGUAGCUGGUCUCUAAUCGUCAGUCCCUGUGGUCUACAUAAUAACUUCAAGAAUGACAUUCCUUCUCAUACAGAACAAAAUAGUGUCUGUAAUAGAUUUAUAUAUCGGGACAACAACAGUCUCCUGAUGACACCCAGUGCAACACACCCACUUGAUCAAAUCAUGGCAGGACAUUAAACACUUUGAGCAGAUGAAUGGCUAAUUCCAGCGAUUAAACACUCACGGUCUGAAAUAUUCCCCCCACCACUUCAAGGAUCUUACAGCUAAAGACGUCUAAUCCCUUUCCUAUUCUUCAAGACUUGCCUUGCUGAACUGUUCUCUUUCUCCCACUCUCUUCCCUCCUCGCUUUGUUAUUCAAUGCGCCUGGAAUUAAGCAAUAGCUCACAGCGGAUAAUUGCACAGAGUGACAGUUAGUUAGUGUCCCAAGCAGAGCAUAAAGGUUACUGAAUGAAAGCACAUAAAGAAACGGGAGUGCUCUACAGCAGCGGACACAGCUCUAAGGGUCCAGUUUUAAAGUGAACUUUUAAAGUUUAAACAGACAGAACACGAAAGAGUGAACUGUGGGCUCAAUAGCGGCGAUGCAGCCACUUCCUGCAGAGGGUUCUUUAUUAUCUAAUCUGCACCAUCCAGCUCACUAUAUUACCCCUGCUUUCCAAUGCGUUUCUCAGAAUCCAGAUGACAGAAGCACCUCUAAGUAAGAAAAACCUUGUCGAAUUCUUCAGAAAUAUAAACCAGCCACUAACAGAAAGGACAAUUUUGUUAUUGUAGUUUUUCUUCUGAAUUCCCCAUCACAUCAGUUGUUUUCUGAUUUUACUCAGAAAGUAUACAUCCUUUUGGCCAGGGCUAAAAGAGUCAUAAAGUCUCUUGAAUAAGCAGCAGAUAUAAAAAUAGUGCAAACAUUUCAGAAAGAGUGAAAUCCUUUUUACGGUAUAAAACUACAGAUGCAAUAUUGGGGGAUAUAGCGGAGGCAGGUAUACUUCUGUCCAUAUGUAAGUACACUUUGCAUGCUGGUACAUCUAGAGGACUUUUAGGAAAACUGUGAAGAAACUUGCAAAGAGCUUCUUUAUCAUGGGUUAUUGACCAGAGGCUGGAAGGUGACUGUCCGCGCUUUAAAUCUAGUUUUCUUCAGCACAAGUUGUUGAGAGAAUCAGGUGCAUCAGUGUUUAGUUUGUGCUGUUAAUAAAGUUUACAGGCUACUUGUAGAUGUCUCUCCGCAUUGAACUUCCAGAGGUCACCUCAGUUCAGAAAGGAGGCUCGCCAAUGGAAUGCCAUGCACGAUUGAUUGAAAUGACAGAUAGACAUGCCCGUGAUUGCGUUGUUAUUUGCAUGUUUGUCCAUGGCCUUGCCCAUUGGAGUGUUAGCUGCCCUUAUGCUGGCAAACUAUGAUGAAUGAAGUGUAUGAAUUGAAUGGAUAUCUAAUACCAGCAGGCAGGACAAGUGGCACUUGAGGGCCACCUUCCCCCUAGAGAUGCUGCAAGGUGAAGGCAGGGGAGGAGGGGGACCAAACAGACGAACGAACCACGAGGCCUCAGAUGAAGUUUGUAUAUAUAUAUGUAUAUAUGGUUCGAUAAUUUGUAUUUGAUGAAAGGAUGUAUACUCCUUACAGGAAGUUUCCAAGGAAAGCAGAGACUUUGAAUGUGAGUUAGAUAAAACAGCAAUUGUCUGCGGUACGGAGAUGGAGAGCCAGAGUGAGGCUUGAGGAGGUUCUUGUGGGUAACCAGUCAGUGCUUUGCAAUGUCUCCUGUGUUCUCAGUGACCGUGCAUCAUUUUUGUGAUCUCUUAAAGAAUCGCACUGAGAUCUCUCCAAGCAGUGACUAACAAAACUGUUUCAUUAUUAUACUAGACGCUUUCACCUCAAAACGAAAACUGCUGCAUUACAAUACGACCUUGUAUGUUUUAAGUCUCAUCCAAAGGACAGCACACAAGUACUUACACAGGCUCCCAUACAAUGAGUCAGGGGCUGGGAGUUGAACCAAGAACCUCCUGGUCUCAAGCCCUUUUCUUUAACCACUGGACCACCAAGCCUUUGUUAGUGGAAAAUAUUCCUUUAAAAAGUCAAGCACAUGUUUACCCCAAUGCGUGUGUGUCAAAGAAAAGUUAGAUUGUAACGUGGUGGUGUGACAGGGCACAAGCACUGUUACAUUGCUGUUCUUCCAGUUUGGCAGGGAUAGGGUUAAUACUAUCCCUGCCAAAUACAUGUGCAGACUGUGGCUGGGUCUUAAACAGAUGGAUGUAAGGAGCAGUCUCCAUACUUGUGGGAGAAGAACCCAGGGCAAGCAGCACAGCGCAGCACAGCACCACACAGCACAGCACAGCACAGCACAGCACGCCACGCUGACAAAGGACUUCCAUUCUCCUCUGAUUUCAUGGACUGAACCUGCAGAACAACAAGAGACGGUUACCUGCCAGCUCAGCCUCUACAACUGUGCCUGCUUACAAGCACCUAACGUGUUUAUUACCUUGCUCCUCCUGGGAGAUUGCGUAUAUAGUUGUACCAUAUUUAAACAGUACCCUUUAUUUUGUGAACAGUUGAGUUUUUGUCUCUUGUAAAUAA